rnacentral:sRNA from 1 species
CUUCAAGAUUCCGUCUAAUCCUAGAUAUGGUAUGUGGACGAUCAAGGCUAAAUAUAAAGAGGACUUUUCAACAACUGGAACCGCAUAUUUUGAAGUUAAAGAAUAUGUCUUGCCACAUUUUUCUGUCUCAAUCGAACCAGAAUAUAAUUUCAUUGGUUACAAGAACUUUAAGAAUUUUGAAAUUACUAUAAAAGCAAGAUAUUUUUAUAAUAAAGUAGUCACUGAGGCUGACGUUUAUAUCACAUUUGGAAUAAGAGAAGACUUAAAAGAUGAUCAAAAAGAAAUGAUGCAAACAGCAAUGCAAAACACAAUGUUAAGGGCGGAAGUACGCUGAGAGGCCUAGAAAGAUGAAUGAUGAUGCAGGAAUUGGAAGAAGGCGUGUUUGUCAGCUAUUACCAAAAAGACCUGUUGGACCAUGUGAUGUUCAAGACUCUUCUACUUCUAUAAUUCUAUACAAAUAAUUAGAAAAUAACAUCCUGGGCUUAAUUGUGGACUCGGUUAUCUACUUUACUUUUGACACU